rnacentral:rRNA from 1 species
GACGAACGCUGGCGGCGUGCCUAAUACAUGCAAGUCGAGCGGACUUUCAAGAAGCUUGCUUUUUGAAAGUUAGCGGCGGACGGGUGUGUAACACGUGGGCAACCUGCCUGCAAGACGGGGAUAACUCCGGGAAACCGGGGCUAAUACCGGAUAAUAUCUUCCUUCGCAUGAAGGAAGGUUGAAAGGCGGCGCAAGCUGCCGCUUGCAGAUGGGCCCGCGGCGCAUUAGCUAGUUGGUGAGGUAACGGCUCACCAAGGCGACGAUGCGUAGCCGACCUGAGAGGGUGAUCGGCCACACUGGGACUGGGACACGGCCCAGACUCCUACGGGAGGCAGCAGUAGGGAAUCUUCCGCAAUGGACGAAAGUCUGACGGAGCAACGCCGCGUGAGCGAAGAAGGUCUUCGGAUCGUAAAGCUCUGUUGUCAGGGAAGAACAAGUACCGUUCGAACAGGGCGGUACCUUGACGGUACCUGACCAGAAAGCCACGGCUAACUACGUG